UUUUUUUUGUUGGGUGGGGGUCAGCCAGGUAUACAGUGAAACUGCGAAUGGCUCAUUAAAUCAGUUAUCGUUUAUUUGAUAGUACCUUACUACUUGGAUAACCGUGGUAAUUCUAGAGCUAAUACAUGCUAAAAAUCCCGACCUCCGGAAGGGAUGUAUUUAUUAGAUAAAAAACCAAUGCCUUCGGGCUCCUUGGUGAUUCAUGAUAACUUAACGAAUCGCAUGGCCUUGCGCCGGCGAUGGUUCAUUCAAAUUUCUGCCCUAUCAACUUUCGAUGGUAGGAUAGUGGCCUACCAUGGUUUCAACGGGUAACGGGGAAUUAGGGUUCGAUUCCGGAGAGGGAGCCUGAGAAACGGCUACCACAUCCAAGGAAGGCAGCAGGCGCGCAAAUUACCCAAUCCCGAUUCGGGGAGGUAGUGACAAUAAAUACUGAUACAGGGCUCUUUUGGGUCUUGUAAUUGGAAUGAGUACAAUUUAAAUCCCUUAACGAGGAACAAUUGGAGGGCAAGUCUGGCCC
rnacentral:rRNA from 1 species